GGCUGGGCCCAGUGCAGUAGUGUUUAUAACCAGUUACAGAUUUCUUUGUUUAUUCUCCACUAUCACUGUUUCACUUGACUAGCCUUAA
ensembl:misc_RNA Y_RNA Y RNA